rnacentral:rRNA from 1 species
GAUGAACGCUGGCGGCGUGCCUAAUACAUGCAAGUCGAGCGAACAGACGAGGAGCUUGCUCCUCUGACGUUAGCGGCGGACGGGUGAGUAACACGUGGAUAACCUACCUAUAAGACUGGGAUAACUUCGGGAAACCGGAGCUAAUACCGGAUAAUAUAUUGAACCGCAUGGUUCAAUAGUGAAAGACGGUUUUGCUGUCACUUAUAGAUGGAUCCGCGCCGCAUUUGCUAGUUGGUAAGGUAACGGCUUACCAAGGCAACGAUGCGUAGCCGACCUGAGAGGGUGAUCGGCCACACUGGAACUGAGACACGGUCCAGACUCCUACGGGAGGCAGCAGUAGGGAAUCUUCCGCAAUGGGCGAAAGCCUGACGGAGCAACGCCGCGUGAGUGAUGAAGGUCUUCGGAUCGUAAAACUCUGUUAUUAGGGAAGAACAAAUGUGUAAGUAACUAUGCACGUCUUGACGGUACCUAAUCAGAAAGCCACGGCUAACUACGUG